CGGGGUGCAGCAGGCGCGAAAACUCUACAAUGCAGGCAACUGCGAUAGGGGAACAUCGAGUGAUACUCAUCUUGGGUGUCUGUCCUCCCGUCUAAAAAACGGGAGUUAGCAAGGGCCGGGCAAGACCGGUGCCAGCCGCCGCGGUAAUACCGGCGGCUCGAGUGGUGGCCGAUAUUAUUGAGUCUAAAGGGUCCGUAGCCGGCUUUGCAAGUCUUUUGGGAAAUCCAGCGGCUUAACCGUUGGUCGUCCGGGAGAUACUACAUUGCUUGGGACUGGGAGAGGUAGGAGGUACUCAGGGGGUAGGAGUGAAAUCCUGUAAUCCUUUGGGGACCACCGGUGGAGAAGGCGUCCUACCAAAACAGGUCCGACGGUGAGGGACAAAGGCUAGGGGCACGAACCGGAUUAUAUACCCGGGUAGUCCUAGCCGUAAACGAUGCUCGCUAGGUGUCACAACAAUCUUGAAUUGUUGUGGUGCCCUAGGGAAGACGUGAAGUGAGCCACUUGGGAAGUACGACUGCAUGGUUGAAACAUUAUGGAAUUGGCGGGGGAGCAC
rnacentral:rRNA from 1 species